rnacentral:rRNA from 1 species
CAGUCGCCGCGGGAAUACGUAGGGUGCAAGCGUUAAUCGGAAUUACUGGGCGUAAAGCGUACGCAGGCGGUUAUAUAAGUCAGAUGUGAAAUCCCCGGGCUCAACCUGGGAACUGCAUUUGAGACUGUAUGGCUAGGGUGUGUCAGAAGGGGGUAGAAUUCCACGUGUAGCAGUGAAAUGCGUAGAUAUGUGGAGGAAUACCGAUGGCGAAGGCAGCCCCCUGGGAUAACACUGACGCUCAUGCACGAAAGCUAGGGGAGCAAAUGGGAUUAGAUACCCCCGUAGUCCCUGUCUCUUAUAC